AUCACUUCUCUGCCCUUUGGCUAAGAUCAAGUGUAGUAUCUGUUCUUAUCAGUUUAAUAUCUGAUAUGUUCUUUAUCCGAGGACUAUAUAUUAAAUGGAUUUUUGGAUCUGGGAGUUGGAAAGGGGGCUUGCUCCUUCCACUCUGUGCAUCAACCUGGUAUUGCAGUGUUUCUAGGACUGGUGCAUCUUCC